CCUACGGGGGGCAGCAGUGAGGAAUAUUGGUCAAUGGCCGGAAGGCUGAACCAGCCAAGUAGCGUGCAGGAUGACUGCCUUAUGGGUUGUAAACUGCUUUUUUACGGGAAUAAUUAUGAUCACGUGUGAUUAUUUGCAUGUACCGUAAGAAUAAGGAUCGGCUAACUCCGUGCCAGCAGCCGCGGUAAUACGGAGGAUCCUAGUGUUAUCCGGAUUUAUUGGGUUUAAAGGGAGCGUAGGCGGGAGGUCAAGUCAGCUGUGAAAUGUAUCUGCUUAACGGGUACACUGCAGUUGAAACUGGUUUUCUUGAGUGCGUAAGAGGCAGGCGGAAUUCGUUGUGUAGCGGUGAAAUGCUUAGAUAUGACGAGGAACUCCUAUUGCGAAGGCAGCUUGCUGGGUCGUUACUGACGCUGAUGCUCGAAGGUGCGGGGAUCAAACAGGAUUAGAUACCCUGGUAGUCCGCACAGUAAACUAUGGAUACUCUCUGCCGGCGAUAUAUUGUCGGUAGCCAAGCGAAAGCGUUAAGUAUCCCACCUGGGGAGUACGUUCGCAAGAAUGAAACUCAAAGGAAUUGACGGGGGCCCGCACAAGCGGAGGAACAUGUGGUUUAAUUCGAUGAUACGCGAGGAACCUUACCCGGGUUUGAAUUGCUGAUGUCGGUAUUUGGAGACAGAUACUUCCCUUCGGGGCGUCAGUGAAGGUGCUGCAUGGUUGUCGUCAGCUCGUGCCGUGAGGUGUCGGCUUAAGUGCCAUAACGAGCGCAACCCUUGCCGUUAGUUGCCAUCGGGUCAUGCCGGGCACUCUAUUGGGACUGCCAUCGUAAGAUGUGA
rnacentral:rRNA from 1 species